rnacentral:rRNA from 1 species
CUACGGGAUGCUGCAGUGAGGAAUAUUGCACAAUGGGGGGAACCCUGAUGCAGCAACGUCGCGUGGAGGAUGACGCAUUUCGGUGUGUAAACUCCUUUUAUAUGUCAAGAAAAUGACGGUAGCAUAUGAAUAAGCACCGGCUAACUCCGUGCCAGCAGCCGCGGUAAUACGGAGGGUGCAAGCGUUACUCGGAAUCACUGGGCGUAAAGGACGCGUAGGCGGGUUGGAAAGUCAGGUGUGAAAUCCUACAGCUUAACUGUAGAACUGCACUUGAAACUUCUAAUCUAGAGUAUGGGAGGGGGAGAUGGAAUUAGUGGUGUAGGGGUAAAAUCCGUAGAUAUCACUAGGAAUACCUAAAGCGAAGGCGAUCUCCUGGAACAUAACUGACGCUAAGGCGUGAAAGCGUGGGGAGCAAACAGGAUUAGAUACCCUCGUAGUC